UAAAAUAUUAUUUAGUAUAAUAAUUAUAUCAAUAAAAUAUUUAAUUAGUCGACCGGAAAAUGGAAUGUAUCAUAUCCAAGCUAUAAAUAAAGAAUGGUUCUAGUGGUUGAUGAUUCCAAAAAAACUCAUUGAAACAUCACACAUAUCAAUAUUUGAAAUUAAAAUGGCAAGGAAGAACAUGGUUGAUCUUUUGGUGUUUGUAAUGGUUUUGGCUUUGUUAAGGACGUCGAUAAAUGCAAGCCUAAUUGAUGGCUUCAUGUGCAUCAAAGUUAAAUUGUCCUUGUAUCCAUGUGUGACAUUUUUGGAGAGUUCUACCUCAACAAAACCACCCAUUAAUUGUUGUGAAGGAGCAAAUAGUUUAUUGCAAAUGGCUAGCACAACUAUAGUUAGGAGAAAUGUCUGCAAAUGUCUUAUAAGUACUUCAACAAAAUCGAAAGUUAACUCUACUAGAGCAAAAGAGCUUCCACAACUUUGCAGUAUCAAUAUUUCUUUUCCAUUAAAUUUUAAUGCUAGUUGCGACUCGAUUCCAUGAAGCUACAAAAGGGGAACAACGUGAAGGAAGUUUGAAGUACCGCAAAGAAGAGAUAGCAAUAAGGAAAUGAUAGAAAUUGUAAUAUUAAUUCAUUAAAGUUGAAUGUGUUUCCUGUAUUUUGCAAAUGAAAAAUAUAAUCAUAUGUCUUUUUUACUCAUUCUUAAUUAUAAUCGUACAUCUUUUUCAUUAAA